rfam:Loxodonta africana unplaced genomic scaffold scaffold_20, whole genome shotgun sequence.
ACAUGGGUGGUUCGGUGGUAGAACUCUCAUCUUCCAUGCAGGAGACCCAGGUUUGAUUCUUGGCCAAUGCA